UACUGGAUAUUUGGAAGCUAAGAUGAGAAGCUGACAUCUGCAUUUUUCAGCAUUGUCCAGGCCCAGGGGGAGCAGUUUUCCUAGUUGGUGACAACGUCUUACGGCUGACCUUUGGAACACACAAACUUGGCAAUUUAUGGCUCAUCUGAUAAAAUGGAGGCCCCAGGACUAACUUGUAUUUGGCUGUGUGACUUUCCCUGCUGGUGACAUGAAGGAUAAGUAAAAGAUAGAUCAAGGCUUUGCCUAUGCUGCGGAAGCGGCUGCUGCUGCUUGAAAUGCAGCAGGAGGGCUGAGGUAAGCAGACCUGCUAGUGUGGGCACAGCUCUACUGGCAGAAGGAGUUUUUCUGUUGCCGAAGUUGCACCAGCUCCCCCCCAUGAUAGAAACUGUGCCGCCAGGAACCACUCUGCUGGCAGAGUAACAUCUGUGGGCUUUCAGCAUCUUCGUUUUCCACCAACUCCAUAGAUGCUGAAGAAGCUCUGCACCAAAGAAGAGGUGCUCACGAGAAGAGG